rnacentral:rRNA from 1 species
AACGAACGCUGGCGGCAUGCCUAACACAUGCAAGUCGAGCGAGCGGUUCGGAUCUAGUGUCGCACGGGGGUGUAGGCGGUGGGAACCUGACCUCAGGGUCGGAAUAACUACACGAAAGGGGUGCCAAUACCGGACAAUGUCUACGGACCAAAGAUUUAUCGAAUUUGGAGGGUCCAGCGUUGGAUAAGCUCGUUCGUACGGUAAAAGACUACCAAGGCGACCAUUAGUAGCUGGGCUGAGAGGAUGAUCAGCGACACUGCGAUUAAGAAACGGCCGGGACUCCUACGGGAUGCAGCAGUGGGGAAUAUUGGACAAUGGGCGAAAGCCUGAUGCAGCAAUGCCGCGUGAGUGAUGAAGUCCUUAGGGUUGUAAAGCGCUUGUAACCGGGAUGAUAAUGACAGUACCGGGAGAAUAAGCGCCGGCUAACUCCGUG